UACGUAGGGUGCGAGCGUUAAUCGGAAUUACUGGGCGUAAAGCGUGCGCAGGCGGUUCGCUGUGUCCGAUGUGAAAGCCCCGGGCUUAACCUGGGAAUGGCAUUGGAAACUGGCGGGCUUGAGUGUGGCAGAGGGGGGUGGAAUUCCGCGUGUAGCAGUGAAAUGCGUAGAGAUGCGGAGGAAGACCAGUGGCGAAGGCGGGUCUCUGGACAGUUCCUGACACUGAGGCACGAAGGCCAGGGGAGCAAACGGG
rnacentral:rRNA from 1 species